GCCAGCCUCGGUGGAGUCGACGUUGGGAUACCACCCUUGAGGUAUUGAUCUUCUAACUUGGCACCCUGAAGCGGGUGUAAGGACAGUGUCAGGCGGGCAGUUUGACUGGGGCGGUCGCCUCCUAAAAAGUAACGGAGGCGCCCAAGGGUUCCCUCAGCGCGGUUGGAAAUCGCGCUCCGAGUGCAAUGGCAUAAGGGAGCUUGACUGCGAGACCUACAAGUCGAGCAGGGACGAAAGUCGGGCAUAGUGAUCCGGUGGUUCCGAGUGGAAGGGCCAUCGCUCAACGGAUAAAAGCUACCCUGGGGAUAACAGGCUUAUCUCCCCCAAGAGUCCACAUCGACGGGGAGGUUUGGCACCUCGAUGUCGGCUCAUCGCAUCCUGGGGCUGUAGUCGGUCCCAAGGGUUGGGCUGUUCGCCCAUUAAAGCGGUACGCGAGCUGGGUUCAGAACGUCGUGAGACAGUUCGGUCCCUAUCUGCCGUGGGCGCAGGAAGUUUGAGAGGAGUUGUCCUUAGUACGAGAGGACCGGGAUGAACCGACCGCUGGUGUCCCAGUUGUGGUGCCAACCGCAUCGCUGGGUAGCUAUGUCGGGAAGGGAUAAGCGCUGAAAGCAUCUAAGCGCGAAGCCCCCCUUCAAGAAAGACUUCCCACAUGGUCAACAUGGUAAGACCCCCAGUAGACGACUGGGUUGGAUAGGCUGGAGG
rnacentral:ncRNA from 1 species